AUCUAAAUAGUUUAAUUAAAAUAUUGAUUUGUGGCAUCAAAGUUAUAGAAAUUAUUUUAGAUU
rnacentral:tRNA from 1 species